UACGGGGGGGGCAAGCGUUGUUCGGAAUUACUGGGCGUAAAGGGUUUGUAGGUGGCUUGUUAAGUCAGACGUGAAAUCCCUCAGCUUAACUGGGGAACUGCGUCUGAUACUGGCGAGCUUGAGUGCAGGAGAGGAACGCGGAAUUCCAGGUGUAGCGGUGAAAUGCGUAGAUAUCUGGAGGAACACCCGUGGCGAAGGCGGCUUUCUGGGACGGUACUGACGCUGAGACGCGAAAGCGUGGGGAGCGAACAGG
rnacentral:rRNA from 1 species